UCUAGGUUCUGGGAAGUGAGGUGCAUCAAACAGAAAGAGUAACCCUUGUUUCUCCAGCCUGCAGAAAGGAACAAUUAUAGCUGAACUGCUGUACUUUCUUUCUGCCCUGCUUUAUUAUUCUCCAUAGUACUUAUCACCUUGUAACAUCUGGUAUAUUCUACUUAUUUAGUUUACUGUCUAUCUCCCCUCACUUAAUAUGUAGGCUCCAUGAGGAUUUUUGUUUUGUUUUACAGGAACACACCCUGGCAUAUGGUAGGCCCUCCAUUGAUGUUUAUUGGAUGUGAAUAAAUGAAUGUGUCAUCAAGAGGAUUUGCGAUGCCCCGCUCGUCAUGGAGAUGUUAGGACUCUAAUAUCCAGUUUCAACUUUCCAACUGGCUUCUUGGAAACUUGUGGCUCCUUCUUAAAAACUGGAGGCAAGUAAGAUCCUAGCCAAAACCAGAGGCCCAAGAGUGAGACAGCCUGGAGACGGGGCCUCCCUCUAUUGCCCAGGCUGAAGUGCAGUGGUACGACCAUGGCUCACUGUAACCUUGAACUCCUGUGCUCAAGUGAUCCUCUCGCCUCAGCCUCCAGAGUAGCUGAGACUGUAGGUAUGUGCCACCAUGCCUAGCUAUUUGAAAAAAAAGAAUUGUAGAGACGGGGGUCUCCCUGUGUUUCCCAGGUUGGUCUCAAACUCCUGGCCUCAAGUGAUCUUCUCACCUUGGCCUCCCGAAGUGUUGGGAUUACCGGCAUCAGCCAUCAUGCCCAGCCCACUUACUGUUUUAUCAAAUAAAACUGAAUGUUUUCAUGGC